GAAUAUUGCGCAAUGGGCGAAAGCCUGACGCAGCCAUGCCGCGUGUGUGAAGAAGGCCUUCGGGUUGUAAAGCACUUUCAGUGGGGAGGAAAGGGCGCUGGCUAAUAUCCAGCGCAGUUGACGCUACCCACAGAAGAAGCACCGGCUAAUUCCGUGCCAGCAGCCGCGGUAAUGCGGAAGGUGCAAGCGUUAAUCGGAAUUACUGGGCGUAAAGCGCGCGUAGGCGGCUUGGUAAGUCGGGUGUGAAAGCCCCGGGCUCAACCUGGGAACUGCACUCGAUACUGCCGGGCUAGAGUACGAAAGAGGGGGGUGGAAUUCCAGGUGUAGCGGUGAAAUGCGUAGAGAUCUGGAGGAACACCGGUGGCGAAGGCGGCCCCCUGGUUCGAUACUGACGCUGAGGUGCGAAAGCGUGGGGAGCAAACAGG
rnacentral:rRNA from 1 species